rnacentral:rRNA from 1 species
GGUAACUGACGCAUAUUGCACGUCGUGGGACCUACCAUGAUGUACACAUACCUGAGUGCUU